rnacentral:lncRNA from 1 species
AAUCUCUUUGAUUAAUUCCAAUCUCCUAUUUAUGGGUAAGAAUAAUCUUAACCAAAUAAGGAUUAUUCUUCAGACCCUAGCCUACAAGGAGUCUAUAAUACAUGGCUAAUCACACAUAUGAGGUAAUAUGAUCUCUACCCUUGAAACACCCUCUCUCUCAUGCCACUCUCUUCUUCUCGGCUCCGGCCACCCGGCUCUCACCGUGAGAGAAGACCUCCUUCCUUUCUAUUAUCUUAGUUUCUAUUUACUCCGGUCUUUUUCCUAGGGAUCGAGGAAGAAUAGAGAGAAGGAAGCUCGAAGGGCGAAGAAUCUACAUGCGAAUUUUCCCCAUGCAAAAAUUUGCUCAAAUAUAUUUGAUGCUUUCAUUGAGAGAUUCGAGAUAUACUCAAUGCGAUGCUCUCAAAUCCAAAUCAAGGGAAAUCUGUUUCCCCUCUCAUAAAUAGAAUCUGUCAUCAAUCCAAAGCCCUCAAAUCACUAUGGUGAGAGGCCUCAAUGCUAGGAACACAACGAGAACAACCACCGCAUCACCAGCGAAAUUCUCUUAACCACCCAUGGCCGCGGUGAACACAUCUUUCUACUGAAAAAUCUAUUUUUCUAUUGGACCAAAACAACCAGAAGAAUUGGAAUUUCAGAUACAAAGAUUUGGGUAUUUACCAAAACCCCCCACAAACAUGCCUCCAGCCAAGCGAUACAGAAGCAACAAAAAUAUAGAAGGCACGAAGCAAUAGCUUGCUCCGUCACUGGCACCGACCAUUGAGCCACCACAUGUGGCACGACCCAUCCUUCCAUGACCAAGGGUCUUCGACCUCCAAGCCCAAGGGCUCGCGCCGUCACCAACCCAGGCAUGAUCAGAAAUUUCUCCACAGCCGUUGCCAUCCUUGGAAUGAUGGCCUCCACCCAUCGUUUCAUAUCGUCGACAACGUUGUUGAACUCAGGGAUGUCUAGGAAGCGAAAGUUGAGGCGAAGAACUUUGAUCUGCCACUGUGAAAUAGCAGGCGUAACCAAAACUAGAGGUCUCGGCCAAGCUUCGAUCGGAGACCUUCUUGAUAUCUCCUUGCGACAUUACCGGCGUCAUUGGAAUCGUCUAGCUCCGAACUGCACGAAUUCGAAAGGGCCCCGCCAUCUAAAGCCAAAAUAUGGAUGAUGCGCCGUUUACAGAUUCGCCAGAAUUGCCCAGCUCCAUCGAUGCCAUUCCACUCAUCUCCUUGCGACACCACCACUACUAUUGAAAUCAGAGGGCUCGAAAUUGUAAGUUUCAUGGAACGACCAAUCCCCCCGUCGCAGUGCCGGUGACUGGGCCCCACACGCAGGCAGCCAUGAGUCGGUCCUUCUCAUGCCAACAAUGGCUUCCACGCAGGGCAGCCUCUUUCUCUCUCUGUUAUGUGAUGUCAUAAUUCUUAACCAACAUUAAAACUUAAUAUUUAUUCUAAAUUAAGGCAAUUUCUUAAUAAAUAUUAGCAUUAAAUAUUUAUUUAAACUUAGUGUAAAUUCUUAAUAGAUACUAGCCUCUCUGCACGCGCU